rnacentral:rRNA from 1 species
AUUGAACGCUGGCGGCAGGCCUAACACAUGCAAGUCGAGCGGUAGCACAGAGAGCUUGCUCUCGGGUGACGAGCGGCGGACGGGUGAGUAAUGUCUGGGAAACUGCCUGAUGGAGGGGGAUAACUACUGGAAACGGUAGCUAAUACCGCAUAAUGUCGCAAGACCAAAGUGGGGGACCUUCGGGCCUCAUGCCAUCAGAUGUGCCCAGAUGGGAUUAGCUAGUAGGUGGGGUAAUGGCUCACCUAGGCGACGAUCCCUAGCUGGUCUGAGAGGAUGACCAGCCACACUGGAACUGAGACACGGUCCAGACUCCUACGGGAGGCAGCAGUGGGGAAUAUUGCACAAUGGGCGCAAGCCUGAUGCAGCCAUGCCGCGUGUGUGAAGAAGGCCUUCGGGUUGUAAAGCACUUUCAGCGGGGAGGAAGGCGAUAAGGUUAAUAACCUUGUCGAUUGACGUUACCCGCAGAAGAAGCACCGGCUAACUCCGUGCCAGCAGCCGCGGUAAUACGGAGGGUGCAAGCGUUAAUCGGAAUUACUGGGCGUAAAGCGCACGCAGGCGGUCUGUCAAGUCGGAUGUGAAAUCCCCGGGCUCAACCUGGGAACUGCAUUCGAAACUGGCAGGCUAGAGUCUUGUAGAGGGGGGUAGAAUUCCAGGUGUAGCGGUGAAAUGCGUAGAGAUCUGGAGGAAUACCGGUGGCGAAGGCGGCCCCCUGGACAAAGACUGACGCUCAGGUGCGAAAGCGUGGGGAGCAAACAGGAUUAGAUACCCUGGUAGUCCACGCCGUAAACGAUGUCGAUUUGGAGGUUGUGCCCUUGAGGCGUGGCUUCCGGAGCUAACGCGUUAAAUCGACCGCCUGGGGAGUACGGCCGCAAGGUUAAAACUCAAAUGAAUUGACGGGGGCCCGCACAAGCGGUGGAGCAUGUGGUUUAAUUCGAUGCAACGCGAAGAACCUUACCUGGUCUUGACAUCCACAGAACUUAGCAGAGAUGCUUUGGUGCCUUCGGGAACUGUGAGACAGGUGCUGCAUGGCUGUCGUCAGCUCGUGUUGUGAAAUGUUGGGUUAAGUCCCGCAACGAGCGCAACCCUUAUCCUUUGUUGCCAGCGGUUAGGCCGGGAACUCAAAGGAGACUGCCAGUGAUAAACUGGAGGAAGGUGGGGAUGACGUCAAGUCAUCAUGGCCCUUACGACCAGGGCUACACACGUGCUACAAUGGCAUAUACAAAGAGAAGCGACCUCGCGAGAGCAAGCGGACCUCAUAAAGUAUGUCGUAGUCCGGAUUGGAGUCUGCAACUCGACUCCAUGAAGUCGGAAUCGCUAGUAAUCGUAGAUCAGAAUGCUACGGUGAAUACGUUCCCGGGCCUUGUACACACCGCCCGUCACACCAUGGGAGUGGGUUGCAAAAGAAGUAGGUAGCUUAACCUUCGGGAGGGCGCUUACCACUUUGUGAUUCAUGACUGGGGUGA